GUUUGGGGCAAGGAGCAGCACCCUGGACUUUCUCAUCUGUGAAACAAAGGAACUGACUUGAUUUUUCAUUGCUCCUAAAGGUAUCAGAUUAAGAAAAUGGACAGAAGCAAGAAACAGAUAUACAGCCUGCAAAGGGGCCUUGCCAACGGCGGGCAGCUCAUCAGUGUUACCUGUGUGUCGUUCUCCAGAUGCUCUCAUGGCAAACGGCAUUUCUAAAAUGCUAAAUCACGUGGCAUCUGGGAGAAGGGGAGAUGAUGGCCAGGGAAGGCCGUCGUGUCUUCCCGCCUGCUGCCUCAGUCCUGGGACGACAGAGCUGCACCUCUAAGUUCCCAGGAGAGGGUGGUCCAUUUGAGUGUAGCCGUCUCCUCAAGACAUGUUGAAAUGAAUUUCCAUGUUCAUCAAACCAUGAAUUAUUGAAAAGCACUCAGGAAUUUUUGUGUUCCAUUUACACGAAUCAAUGAACAGAGGUUUAGAGUCAACCUUUGCUUCACUGCUUUAUGGUUUAUAAAGACAGGGCAACAAUUUCAAGUGUGUACUGAGAACGAGCUUAUUCGUGGUUGGAAUAAAUUAAAAGAAUGGCCUUUAUAAGAAAGAUUCAGAAUCUGUAUGAAGCAAAUGACUAGGUCAGUAGGUAGACAGAUUUUUCCCCAUUUUUGUAUUGGAGAUUUUCAAAUGUAUACAAGAGUAAAGAAGAUGGAAAAUGACUCCCUUGAGCCCGUCGCCCAGCAUCAAUAUGUAUCCACAUUUCGCUAUUCUUGCUUUAUCUAACCGUCUCACUUAUCUCAAAACCACAAUAUGUUAAGAUAAGUGAACUGAAGACCUGAAUAAAUGCAAACAUCUUAUGCAAAC
rnacentral:lncRNA from 10 species